AUAAAUCGUUGGUUCAAUUUGUUACAUUAUUGAACAUUUAGGUUUCAUGUAAUCAUUUCUUCAUACGAGUACAACGUGUUGAAGUUUUCAGGAUAAUUUUUUCACAAAAUUUACUAAUUGUUUCAUCUUUAGUUUAAAUUUUUCUUGGUUAAACCAUCAAUUCAACAUGUAGAUUAACUAAUUGUAGUAGAUUAAAUUGUCAUACUGUAUAUAUCAUAGUGUUAUCCUGUCCACUCGUCGUUUUAUCACAUCAAGAAGCUCCAAAAGCUCAUCUUGACCAGAUUCUUUAUUUUCGACAAAGCAAUCCAUCUCCCGCCAAGUGGCAUUAUCGCCUUCGUUCAAAUGUAGAUCAAGAUUUUUUAUUAUGGUUUUAUAUCCAACCAAAAGAAUUGAGUAUCCUAAAGGAUAGAGCCAAUUGUCGCAAAUGAGACAAAUAUCAAAAGUAGAGAUGAAUGGAACAUCACCAGAAUUGAAGGCUUUCACAAUGAUUGAAUAUUUGGACCCUAAGAGCAGAAAUGACAAGAAAUGUUCACGAUGAGAAGCAUUUUAUUGGAUCAUUGAUAACUGCGGUAACGCACAUCAUUGCAUUAGGAUUCCUAAGUGGAGCUGUUUGGAUUCAUAUCGAAAUAUUGGAUAGAAGAAUUCGAGCACCAAUGAGCUUUUAUGAUACAACACCCAUGGGAAGGAUUUACAAAAGAUAUUGAUAAUGCUGAUACAACGAUUACGUUGAACUUUCGAAGUUUUUUCAACCAUUCUUGGAGUCUUGGCAUCUCAAUUGUUGGUAUUUGCACUCAGAUUAUUUAUCUAGCAGUUAGGAAUAGUUAUUGGAACAUUUUAUUGCUUAGUUCAAGUGAAGAAUUUUCUUUAUUUUGCCGACAAUAUUACAUGAAGUAUGUUGGUGUGAUAUUCCUCACCAUAGAAAGUAUAUUGAUCUACAUUACGUCUUGAAUCGUCAGUUAAUUGGCCUAAGCUCAAUUUUUGUGAAUUGGCGGAUGCUAAUUUUUUUCUACAGCCGAAAAAUAAUAAAGUGUCCUGUUCUAGUUA